rnacentral:rRNA from 1 species
AAGUGGAGGGGCAACCAUUUCCAACCAAGGGAUGAGGGGGCCGGGGGAAGGGGGGGUAAAGGCGUGACCAACAUCCCUUUUCCAGGGAGAUACACCAGGGAAACUUGGUUUAAUUUCCAUAGCAUUCAUGAAAGGCAUCUUUAAUGAAUUAAAGCUUCGGUUGUAUAGGAUUGGCUCGCGUGACAUUAGCCAGAUGUGAGGGUAACGGCUCACCAUAGCAAUGAUGUCUAGGGGUUUUGAGAGGAAGGCCCCCCACACUGGGACUGAGACACGGCCCAGACUCCUACGGGAGGCAGCAGUGAGGAAUAUUGGACAAUGGAUGGAAACCUGAUCCAGCCAUGCCGCGUGCAGGAAGACGGCCUUAUGGGUUGUAAACUGCUUUUAUACGGGAGCAAUAAGGGUUACGAGUAAUCCGAUGAGAGUACUGUAUGAAUAAGGAUCGGCUAACUCCGUGCCAGCAGCCGCGGUAAUACGGAGGAUCCGAGCGUUAUCCGGAAUUAUUGGGUUUAAAGGGUGCGUAGGCGGCCAUCUAAGUCAGCGGUGAAAUUUUGCAGCUUAACUGUAACAGUGCCGUUGAUACUGUUUGGCUAGGAUUUGGUUGUAGUGUGCGGAAUGUGUGGUGUAGCGGUGAAAUGCUUAGAUAUCACACAGAACACCGAUUGCGAAGGCAGCACACUAAGUCAUUAUUGACGCUGAGGCACGAAAGUGUGGGGAUCAAACAGGAUUAGAUACCCUGGUAGUCCACACUGUAAACGAUGAUAACUCGCUGUCGGCGAUACACAGUCGGGGCCAAGCGAAAGCAUUAAGUUAUCC